rnacentral:rRNA from 1 species
UACGGAGGGUGCAAGCGUUACUCGGAAUCACUGGGCGUAAAGGGCGCGUAGGCGGCCUAGCAAGUCUGGUGUGAAAGCCCAGGGCUCAACCCUGGAAGGGCACUGGAAACUGUUAGGCUUGAGUUCCGGAGAGGAGGGGGGAAUUCCCGGUGUAGCGGUGAAAUGCGUAGAUAUCGGGAGGAAUACCGGUGGUGUAGACGGCUCUCUGGACCGUAACUGACGCUGAGACACGAAAGCGUGGGUAGCAAACAGG